UACGAAGGGUGCAAGCGUUACUCGGAAUUACUGGGCGUAAAGCGUGCGUAGGUGGUGAGUUAAGUCUGUCGUGAAAGCCCCGGGCUCAACCUGGGAAUGGCGAUGGAUACUGGCUCGCUAGAGUGCGGUAGAGGAGAGUGGAAUUCCUGGUGUAGCGGUGAAAUGCGCAGAUAUCAGGAGGAACACCGGUGGGCGAAGGCGGGUCUCUGGGCCGAUACUGACGCUGGAGGAGCGAAAGCGUGGGGAGCAAACAGG
rnacentral:rRNA from 1 species